GACGAACGCUGGCGGCGUGCCUAAUACAUGCAAGUAGAACGCUGAAGGAGGAGCUUGCUUCGCUGGAUGAGUUGCGAACGGGUGAGUAACGCGUAGGUAACCUGCCUGGUAGCGGGGGAUAACUAUUGGAAACGAUAGCUAAUACCGCAUAAUAGCAGUUAUUGCAUGAUAACUGUUUGAAAGGUGCAAUUGCACCACUACCAGAUGGACCUGCGUUGUAUUAGCUAGUUGGUGGGGUAACGGCUCACCACGGCGACGGUACAUAGCCGAGCUGAGAGGGUGAUCGGCCACGCUGGGACUGGGACACGGCCCAGACUCCUACGGGAGGCAGCAGUAGGGGAUCUUCGGCAAGGGACGGAAGUCUGACCGAGCAACACCGAGUGAGUGAAGAAGGUUUUCGGAUCGUAAAGGUCGGUUGUAAGAGAAGAACGAGUGUGAGAGUGGAAAGUUCACACUGUGACGGUAUCUUACCAGAAAGCGACGGCUAACUACGUG
rnacentral:rRNA from 1 species